GUUCUUGUAGAGCAAUGGAUAGCGCGUUGAACUCCCGAUCCAAAGGUCAUGGACUCAAAUCCCACCUUGAAUA